rnacentral:rRNA from 1 species
CCCUUAGAUGUUCUGGGCCGCACGCGCGCUACACUGAUGCAUUCAACGAGUUUCUUCCUGGUCCGAGAGGAGUGGGUAACCUUUUGAAAGUGCAUCGUGAUAGGGAUAGACUAUUGCAAUUAUUGGUCUUCAACGAGGAAUUCCUAGUAGACGUAGUUCAUCAGACUGCAUCGAUUACGUCCCUGCCCUUUGUACACACCGCCCGUCGCUCCUACCGAUCGAAGAGUUAGGUGAAUUGUUUUGAUCGAUAAGAUUUGACUAUGGUCAACUCUCGUUGUGAAAUUCUGUGAAUCUGACUGUUUAGAGGAAGGAAAAGUCGUAACA